rnacentral:rRNA from 1 species
AGCUCCAAUAGCGUAUAUUAAAGUUGUUGCAGUUAAAAAGCUCGUAGUUGGAUUUGUGGCGAUUGCAUGGAACCCUUCACUUUUGUGUAGUGGUCUUUGUGUGAUGCCAUCCUUGGGUGGAGCCUGUGUGGCAUUAGGUUGUCGUGCAGGUGAUGCCCAUCGUUUACUGUGAAAAAAUUAGAGUGUUCAAAGCAGGCUUAUGCCAUUGAAUAUAUUAGCAUGGAAUAAUGAGAUAGGACUUUGGUACUAUUUUGUUGGUUUGCGCAUUAAGGUAAUGAUUAAUAGGGAUAGUUGGGGGUAUUCGUAUUCCAUUGUCAGAGGUGAAAUUCUUGGAUUUUUGGAAGACGAACUACUGCGAAAGCAUUUACCAAGGAUGUUUUCAUUAAUCAAGAACGAAAGU